UACGGAGGGGGCGAGCGUUAUUCGGAAUUAUUGGGCGUAAAGGGCGCGUAGGCGGCUUGACAAGUCAAAGGUGAAAUCCCUCGGCUCAACUGAGGAACUGCCUUUGAAACUGUCUGGCUUGAGGCCGGGAGGGGGUAGCGGAAUUCCCAGUGUAGCGGUGAAAUGCGUAAAUACUGGGAGGAACACCAGUGGCGAAGGCGGCUACCUGGACCGGUUCUGACGCUGAGGCGCGAAAGCGUGGGUAGCAAACAGG
rnacentral:rRNA from 1 species